AGCUCUUCCAGUCACUCCUAGAACAUAAAAAUGUCUGCUAUGAGCAAAAAAAUAAGCUACAGUACCAAACAAAAUCUUAUUUUACUAUAAAUAGCCUAAUACAAUUCUUACGAAUCAGAGUGCCUAUAAAGGAUAGUAGGCCAUAUGAGAAAAGGCAUUUGUCAGCCUAGAUGAAAAUAGAUAUCUUUUACAACAAAUGGAUGCCAACUUAUUGGAACCUUGUUUAUGCAAGAAUUAAAUUCAAAUCAC
rnacentral:lncRNA from 1 species